GCCUGGGUGGCUCAGUCGGUUGGGUGCCUGACUUUGGCUCAGGUCAUGAUCUCACAGUUCGUGGGUUCGAGCCCCACGUUGGGCU
rnacentral:tRNA from 1 species